GUUACAUCCUCAGGAAUAUUUGGCUAAUUUGGAUCGAAGCGAUUCGAUGAAAUUUUAUAGGAGUUAUCUACCUUUACAAAAUAAAUUUGACGAUAUGUUUUUUUAACACAUAAACAGUUAACCGUAUAACCCUGGAAUGUUUUUAUUUGAGGCCCCUAGGUCCUAACUUAGAAAAUGAGGUCAAGGUCAAAGGUCAAGGUCAAGUUCUCAAUUGUGACUUUUGCUUGUUUUUGCAUUUUCUUCGACACUUUGAAAGAUACAUAUAAAAUAACAAGUGCAAAAUGUCUGCUUUAUUGUAAUGAAGAUAUGCAACAUUUAGUCUGAUACAAUUUAAUGGCAUCUUAUAGGAGUUGGUGCCCCUGAAAUGUCUUGAU
rnacentral:lncRNA from 1 species